rnacentral:rRNA from 1 species
UACGGGGGGGGCAAGCGUUGUUCGGAAUUACUGGGCGUAAAGGGCUCGUAGGCGGCCAACUAAGUCAGACGUGAAAUCCCUCGGCUUAACCGGGGAACUGCGUCUGAUACUGGAUGGCUUGAGUUCGGGAGAGGGAUGCGGAAUUCCAGGUGUAGCGGUGAAAUGCGCAGAUAUCAGGAGGAACACCGGUGGCGAAGGCGGGUCUCUGGGCAGUAACUGACGCUGAGGAGCGAAAGCGUGGGGAGCGAACAGG